UACGUAGGGGGCAAGCGUUGUCCGGAAUCAUUGGGCGUAAAGCGCGUGUAGGCGGUUCGGUAAGUCUGCUGUGAAAGUCCAGGGCUCAACCCUGGGAUGCCGGUGGAUACUGUCGGACUAGAGUACGGAAGAGGCGAGUGGAAUUCCCGGUGUAGCGGUGAAAUGCGCAGAUAUCGGGAGGAACACCUAUGCGAAGGCAGCUCGCUGGGACGUCACUGACGCUGAGACGCGAAAGCGUGGGGAGCAAACGGGAUUAG
rnacentral:rRNA from 1 species